AAAAUCUCCAAUGUCUGUAACUCCUGACGGCGGUGGUGGGGCCGAUGGGUUUGCAUCUACAAGCAGAUGCCACAAGAAACACAUUUAGACAGUAAUGACGAAACUUAUCACGAAUUUGGUUCAGUGGAAUUAUUCAAACGUUGUAAAAAGAUCAAUCAUGGGAUGAGUCACAUCGCAAGCAACGUUGAAAUUCGUAUUACACGGUAGGUGAGAGCGGGGAUUAAUCGGGAGAAAAAGGCAUUUGAGGAAUGAAACGUCUGCAGAAAAUAGCGAUAUGAUGACCUCGGCAUAGUUUUGUGCUAGAUGCUGCUAUUACGUGUAACAGCAUUACACUCUACACACUCAUACGUUCUUACAUUCACCGAAGUUUAUCACUAUUAUUCAAUAAAAAAUUCGUGGGUAUAAAAUACUCAACACAUUAAAGAAAUCUUUGAAUUCAUACAACGAUGCAAAAAUUAACAAGACAUUUAACGUACGUGCAAGAUGCUUGAUGCAACAGUGAAAAGCCUCGCAUGACACACAUGUUAAUGCUUUAACAACCGGAUACGACAAUUGGCGUGUUAACUGAACAGUUAUUUCCAAUCGGGUACACUAACGUGCAGGUGUGAUCGCAAACAGGAAUGAAGUUAACAUCCAAUGGAUCUUUCAUGCUGCAUUGUGAUUAUCAGAAAAAACAUUGCUCGUUUUGCAAAAUAAAAUUUAGCUGUUUAGAAUUUUUAGUUAGGUGUAAUGGAAUAUAGAUUUCAAUUAAGAUCUAUAAGAUCUAGUAAAGCCAUUUUUCAUUUAUUCAUUGUCUAUAGAAAAUAAUCCGACCGAUCGGUAAAGCGUUAAUUUCGACCAUUGCACCGGAGUGAGAACAAUUUCGUCGCCUAAUGACACUAAAAUCCGUUGAUAAAAAAAGAAAAAAAAAAAGAAGCGUUGUGAAAGAAUAAGAUUACGCUGAUAAUCAUAACAAGCAGUCAAUGACAUUGAUUACUGUAGACCCGAGUUCUCAAUAACAUAUACACAAAUAACAAAAAUAGGAUUCGUGUAAAUUACAAUGUUCUUCUGAACACUAUUACAGUAGUCUCUGGUUUUUCUAGUCAGGGCUAAAAGCAGAUGCUCAACUGGGAAAGUGUAUUCUGCGAAUUGUGCCAAAAUAACGGUAUCAAGUAUCACUCGCUUUGUAUUGUGCCAGUGUCAUGUUUCACGCGACCUUCAUAAGGUAUAGGUAAGAUAUAUAGGUAGAAUAGUCCCAAUUCCAAGAAUUGGUGGGGAUAGUGACGCUUAAGUGGGGAGCUUAAGCUACUGUACUUAUAGGACAUCUAUCACUUGCAUCAGAAUCCUAUUUCUGGUAUAAUAAUCAUAAUCUUCAAAGUAUCAAGGUUCAACACCCACAUCGAUCGAUAAUUUCUAUCACCAAAAGUGAGUUGAAGCAAAAG